rnacentral:rRNA from 1 species
AACGCGAAGAACCUUACCUAAGCUUGACAUCCUUUUGACCGAUGCCUAAUCGCAUCUUUCCCUUCGGGGACAGAAGUGACAGGUGGUGCAUGGUUGUCGUCAGCUCGUGUCGUGAGAUGUUGGGUUAAGUCCCGCAACGAGCGCAACCCUUGCCUUUAGUUGCCAGCAUUAAGUUGGGCACUCUAGAGGGACUGCCAGGGAUAACCUGGAGGAAGGUGGGGAUGACGUCAAAUCAUCAUGCCCCUUAUGCUUAGGGCUACACACGUGCUACAAUGGGUGGUACAGAGGGCAGCCAAGUCGUGAGGCCGAGCUAAUCCCUUAAAGCCAUUCUCAGUUCGGAUUGUAGGCUGAAACUCGCCUACAUGAAGCUGGAGUUACUAGUAAUCGCAGAUCAGAAUGCUGCGGUGAAUGCGUUCCCGGGCCUUGUACACACCG